rnacentral:rRNA from 1 species
CUAGUAAUCGCGGAUCAGCAUGCCGCGGUGAAUACGUUCCCGGGCCUUGUACACACCGCCCGUCACACCAUGAGAGUCGGGAACACCCGAAGUCCGUAGCCUAACCGCAAGGGGGGCGCGGCCGAAGGUGGGUUCGAUAAUUGGGGUGAAGUCGUAACAAGGUAAC